AACGCACCUUGCACUCUUUGGUAUUCCGAAGAGUAUGUCUGUUUGAGUGUCAUGAGACUCUCAACCCCCCUAUUUUGUAAUGAGAUGGGUGUGGGCUUGGAUUAUGGUUGUCUGUCGGCGUAAUUGCCGGCUCAACUGAAAUACACGAGCAACCCUAUUGAAAUAAACGGUUUGACUUAGCGUAAUAAUUAUUUCGCUAAGGACGCUUUCUUCAAAUAUAAGAGGUGCUUCUAAUUCGCUUCUAAUAGCAUUUAAGCUUUAGACCUCAAAUCAGUCAGGACUACCCGCUGAACUUAA
rnacentral:misc_RNA from 1 species